rnacentral:rRNA from 1 species
UACGGAGGGGGCGAGCGUUAUUCGGAAUUAUUGGGCGUAAAGGGCGCGUAGGCGGCCUGGUCAGUCGAAGGUGAAAUCCCCGAGCUCAACUUGGGAACUGCCUUCGAUACUGCCGGGCUUGAGUCCGGGAGGGGAGAGUGGAAUUCCCAGUGUAGCGGUGAAAUGCGUAGAUAUUGGGAGGAACACCGGUGGCGAAGGCGGCUCUCUGGACCGGUUCUGACGCUGAGGCGCGAAAGCGUGGGUAGCAAACAGGAUUAGAUACCCUGGUAGUCCACGCCGUAAACGAUGGGUACUCGGUGCAGGGGGUAUCGACCCCUCCUGUGCCAAAGCUAACGCAUUAAGUACCCCGCCUGGGGAGUACGGUCGCAAGGCUGAA